ACUGUUCUAGGCACAUGGGAGAUGCUCAGGAAUGUAGCAGCUGCACUCUAGGGACCAUGCACAGGAUCUUGACUUAGAGAAACCAAGCCCUAAGGAUUUGUGUCUUGUGGAAAUGAUUAUGUCAAAUUGCAACAAGGAAAAGCGAAAGUAAUUUUCAAGAGAGAAAAAUCCUUCGGCGCAAGCCCUCUGGUAAACACUAUUGCGUGAUAAAUUGUUAUGAGAAUAAAGUCAUAAGGAAAGUGCAGCUUCACAAAUGACACACGUAGGAAAACAGCAGAUGUCUGAUGAAGUAAAGAACCGACUUAUUGCCAAGACCUUGAAAAACAAAAUUAAUUUCCUUUCGUCUUUGAUAAUGAUGAUGUAAUGUAGUUAAUAGGAAGAGCCUGCCACGCUCAAGCAGCUAGAAAAGGAGAAACAUUUGCCAGGCGCGGGGUGCUGAAUCCUGGGGUGCAGUUGCUGUUUCUCUCACUGUGUUCGUCACUAGAUGAAGUGAGUGGAAGAAGUUAAGAAGCUUGUUUCGUGUUGCUUACAAUAUAAAUGGAUUUGGGCUCUAUUCUCACCUUUAAGCAGCGAUUUCUCCAAGAGGUUAACAAGCCAGUUCAUCAUACUGCCUUUGGUUUGACAAUGAGUUCAGGUAUUUGGAGGCCAAGAAAGUUACUAUCAGUGAAAAAUGGAUUCCAUAAGAGUGAAACAAAAUCAUUACUGUUUUUUAGGAUAAUUAACAUUCCCAAAGAAGAGUAGUGCUUGGGUUUUAGGUAAAUGAGCCCCAUGACUGUGAUCUUUUCCCUACAAGUGAAAAUUUUAAUACAAAUGAAUUGCUCAGUCUCAUGAGUAAUUCAUAGGUACAUACAACCAUCUCCCAGCCUUGGCUGUCAACUACAACACAAAAAACUCUCUUAAGGGGAUCUGCCCUCUGUCAGUUUGUGUUCUAGGAUUGUAGAAGCUUCUGAGUUUUCUGGACCCAUAAACUGGGUUUAAAAUCCACAACGUGGCAGGCAACC